CCUACGGGAGGCAGCAGUGGGGGAUAUUGCACAAUGGGGGGAACCCUGAUGCAGCGACGCCGCGUGGGUGAAGAAGCGCCUCGGCGCGUAAAGCCCUGUCAGCAGGGAAGAAAAUGACGGUACCUGAAGAAGAAGCCCCGGCUAACUACGUGCCAGCAGCCGCGGUAAUACGUAGGGGGCAAGCGUUAUCCGGAGUUACUGGGUGUAACGGGGGCGCAGACGGCGAUGCAAGCCAGGAGUGAAAGCCCGGGGCCCAACCCCGGGACUGCUCUUGGAACUGCGUGGCUGGAGUGCAGGAGGGGCAGGCGGAAUUCCUGGUGUAGCGGUGAAAUGCGUAGAUAUCAGGAGGAACACCGGUGGCGAAGGCGGCCUGCUGGACUGCAACUGACGUUGAGGCCCGAAAGCGUGGGGAGCAAACAGGAUUAGAUACCCCCGUAGCC
rnacentral:rRNA from 1 species